ACUACCCCUCCCAUUCACAGGCCCCGCAGACCAUCCCCACCCCAUUCCCAGAAAAACCCCGAUGCUUGGUAACUGACAGGCACAGCCCCUUCCUGGCAAGCUACCGCACUCCCAUCCCCGGAGCUGCCCCUGCCUGGCCCACCGACACAGGAGGAACUGAAACACAGCAAGGGCCAUGCUGGGGUUUCUUCAAGCAUGUCAGCCUACGAAGCCGCCACUCUUCUGCCACCAACUGUGGCCCAGCCCGGCCCAGCCCUCCCUGCCCAAGCUGUCUGCACAGGCCUGGGUUCCCAGACGCGACUGUGGAAGAUGGGAGGAAGCGGUCCUGGGACUCCUGCCGGAAAGGCCUGCCUCCAGCUCCACCCCAGUGGGAGGGUGGCCAGGAUUUAAGGGAGGCCACCCUGCAGGGAGGGCCUGAGGCCUGUGUCCCCAAGUGCUCCCGAUGGCCCAUCUGAGGGUUCGUCUCCCAGCUCUGCAGAGACAGAGACAGACAGAUCCAGGCAGGCUGAGACUCUGAGCUCUGUGUGCGGAGAUCUUGAGGUUUCCUCUACUCGCCACCUGGGGACAGGACUGAAAACCCAAAAGCUAGGAUCGCUGGCCUCCUCCACCCCCAGACCCCGGCAGGUUCCUUGGACUUGAAAAGCAGUCAGGUUCCAUGGUUCACACCUGUAAUCCCAGCAAUUUGGGAGGCCGAGACGGGAGGAUGGCUUGCAUGCAGGAGUUCAAGACCAGCUUGGGCAACAUGGCAAAACCUUGUCUCUAUAAAAAAUAAAAAAUUAGCUGAGUGUGGUGGCGUGCACCUGUAGUCCCAGCUACUUGGGAGGCUGAGGUGAGGUGGGAGGAUGACUUGAGCCCAGGAGACGGAAGCUGCAGUCAGCCAUGACCACACCUCUGUACUCUAGCCAGGGCAACAGAGUGAGACCCUGUCUCAAAAACAAAAACGAAAAAUAUAUAUAGAUAAAUGAAAAGAUUAGUAUCCACAAAAGGACAAAUAUUGUUUGAUUCCAUUGAUAUGAGGUAGCUAGAACAGGCAAAUUCAU
rnacentral:lncRNA from 10 species